AUUAAUUCUUAUUUGAACAUUUUAGUCUAAUAAGCCUUUUAUAUGUUUGAAAUUUGUGUUUAAAGUGAAACUCCAGUGCCAGAAAAACAAUCAGUUUUCCUGGCACUGCAGGUACCCUCUCCCUCCCAUCCCAGGUAGCUGAAAACCCCUUCAGGUCACUUAAAUGUCCCUCGGGGGUGGUUUCGGGUUGGUGUCGCUCCUCCCAGUAAUCACGUCAGAC
rnacentral:lncRNA from 1 species